rnacentral:rRNA from 1 species
GAUGAACGCUGGCGGCGUGCCUAAUACAUGCAAGUCGAGCGAACAGACGAGGAGCUUGCUCCUCUGACGUUAGCGGCGGACGGGUGAGUAACACGUGGAUAACCUACCUAUAAGACUGGGAUAACUUCGGGAAACCGGAGCUAAUACCGGAUAAUAUAUUGAACCGCAUGGUUCAAUAGUGAAAGACGGUUUUGCUGUCACUUAUAGAUGGAUCCGCGCCGCAUUAGCUAGUUGGUAAGGUAACGGCUUACCAAGGCGACGAUGCGUAGCCGACCUGAGAGGGUGGUCGGCCACACUGGAACUGAGACACGGUCCAGACUCCUACGGGAGGAAGCAGUAGGGAAUCUUCCGCAAUGGGCGAAAGCCUGACGGAGCAACGCCGCGUGAGUGAUGAAGGUCUUCGGAUCGUAAAACUCUGUUAUUAGGGAAGAACAAAUGUGUAAGUAACUAUGCACGUAUUGACGGUACCUAAUCAGAAAGCCACGGCUAACUACGUG